rnacentral:pre_miRNA from 1 species
UGUUUCUCCACCAAAAGAUGACUGAUUUCCUCUGGUGCUUAGAGCCGCCUGCAGCCUUCUAGCACCAUUUGAAAUCGGUUAUAAAACUGUGGAUCAGUGC